CAAUCUCAUCAUUAGCCAGGGAGAUCUGGCUAAAGGCAAGUGUGGGCCGAGAAGCAGCGGCGUCUGAGGUGCACAGGUACUUCCCAAGGACUCCCAGUUCUCGACAGAUUGUAGCACAAGGCGGAAGGAAAUGCGCUCGUUCUCCCACUCUCUAGGACCAUUUGCUAGCUAACCUUGACAUUGCCCAGAGUGUGGGCUUUGGGCCCAGCUCGGUGGGAUCCUCUUGUUAUCGUCAGCGUACCAUAGAGGAUUAGCAACUCGGGGGCUUGUUUGGCAACUUGUUUCCAACACAGAUGCGUCUAUUUUCAAGCAGUCCGCAUCACAGCCUGGCCAUUCUUGUAACAAGCAACCCAGUCGGCCUGCCAGGAGCCGCUCGUGCCAGUGAGGCAGUUCGCGAGAACUCGGCCUCUGGGAACAAACUCCAGGCGGACAUCUGCCCAGCUGGAGCCAACGCUCUGGUGAAAUGGACUAAGCUAGUUUAUUGGGACUUUGCUGCGACUGAAUACGGUGUUUUGAAUGAGAUUUCAUUGAAAUUUAAAUCUCAUUUGUAAUGUCUUGAGGCUAAGACUUUCCAAAUGGAGGAGAUAAAUGAGGUGGCUCAUACCCCGGUGAGGAAUGGAAUCGCUGCCUUGAGUGUCGCAGACUCAGCCUGUGCCCUGCGUCUGCCUGGUCACUGUGGCAGCAGCCGGUAUUCUUAAAGAGGCUUUCAGCUCCAGGGGGAUCAAGCGACCAAGCAGUCCUGGAUGAUCCUCCCAGCUCUGAUGUUCCUGAACUGUGUGAACCAAAGCCAGGCAGCAGUAACAGGCUGGCCUCCCUCUGGAGCUUUACUGAAAGAGGGCUGCUGUGAUCCUCUCUGUUCCAGAAGAGAUUCCACCAAAACCCAUUCUUCAAUCCUUGAUCCAGAAGCUUCGAGCCGAGUGACCUGCCUGCCAAUUGGAGAGCAGCUUGGGACGAUAGGAAGACUUUACAAAAGUCUCUAGUGCUGAGCGAUCUGCUGGGCUGAUGCUGAGGCUGGAAGGUUGAGAACAACAGUUCCCAGGUCAGUGUGUGCUAACACACCACAGCCAUUACACAAUUUGCAAUGGACUUUGAAAUCAGCCCAUUGGCCAAAUCUGAAAUGUCCUAUUAGAUUUACCUUUGUUGAAGGGCAGCCGCCUCUAAAAUAUUUGCUCAGGAUCUUGAAUGUACACAUAUUUACGGAGUCACAAAAGCACUCUCCCUUCUUACAUCCCUGUCCCUCGCCAGCCCAACACCCCGACCCCCACAUCCACAUCCGUAAUUGAUGGGUUUUCUGAAGCGUUUGCUCAUAAUACCUAAACUAAAGGAGUGUAUCCCCGGUGGGUCUGUCCUGUGUCCUACGGCCCCCUUUCCCAUAUUCAAGACAAAUGGGGAAGUGGUGGCUCAAAGUUCCCAGAGUUACAGCCCAUGUUUUGAUAAAGUACAAUUAUUCCACCUUGGGAUAUUUCAGUUCAUCUGGGAAGACUUUCUAUUAUGGAUUGUAAGUAGCACGAGCAUUCUACCUGAUGAGCCCAAAUCCAGACACGAGCUGCUAAUUUUCCGAUGAAAGCAUCAGGGCUGAGGGCUCUUUUAGCUCUCAGAGGCCCCACAUGAGGUUCCUCAAGGUAAUCAUGAUUAAAAAGAGGGUUCAAGGCAGAAACUUGACAAAUCUAGGCAGGGCUAGGCCUCUGGGUAAAAAAAGCAAAAUGUUUCUCUUCUUUGGAGAAAAUGUUUGAUGGUCAUGCCCAUCAACGGCUUCCAUGGCUAGUGGUUCAGAUGGCUCAGUCUCCUCCAGGGAAGGGCUAGAAGGGGGAGGAUGCACUAAGGGCCAGAAAGCAGGGAGCCAGGUCUCAGAAACAUUUCCUGAGCCCCUACUGUGGGCCCAGCACCAUGAUGGGAUUGUGGGAGACCAGGCCGCCAUGAUGGAUUGGAUGAAGAUUGGGAAGUAGACUGGAAGAUAAAUGAGUGAGGCAAGUGCCUCAAUGCUGUAACAGGCCAAGGACUCUGAAUAGGGCCCCAUGCAGACCAAAGGUGGGCACAGGAGCCCUGGGCUUUUAUUCUUCCGGUCCAGUGCCAGCUCAGAACAGGGAUGGGUGACAUGACUGUGACCUGCUUUUGGAUGUCUCCUCUUGACACAGGAGAGAUUCACCCCAACUCCAUGCAUCACAUUUUCUCUCCCACCUCCUGUCCAGGAUCUUUAUUAUGAACACCCUAGGAGCAGGAAAUGAGAUGGCAUUAGACAGCAAAUCUACAAAGGGGACUUUUCCUCUGGCCACUCUCUGGGGAGGCUGAUGGGGUGAGGAGGCUGAUGGGGUGAGGGAAGAGGAAAUGCAAUUUCAAUGGCCCCUCAGAGUCUUUUAAGAAAUUUAAAAGAACUAUUGAGAAGUGCUGGGGAGGGGGCUAGUGGUAGAAUGUGCAAAGAGGUAAGGGCACCCCUGAAAGGAGUAAAAAUCACCCUGUUAGGCUAGAAUGUAAAUACAGCCUUUGCAUUAAUAAAACACUCAAUGAAAUGAAUAAUUUAGUCUAGCCAUGCCUUUUGUUUUGAUCCUAAGUGGGAAGACUGCAGC